rnacentral:lncRNA from 1 species
UUAUCAUUAAGCACACCUUCUUUGAAUCCUUCAAGAGCUCUCUGCUCGACUCUAAUACUACUCCCAGCAGUUUUUCCUAGAGCCAUCCCGAGCCAUGCUCCACCCGAUUCAAAUACUUUUUGAGUCCUUCAAGAGCCUUGCUUGACUCUAAUAUUACUCCACCACGUCCUGGGUGUCUCACCACGUCCUGGGUGUCUCAGCAAUUUCCCUAGAGCCUUCCUAAGCCCGCUCCACCCGACUCAAAUCAUCCCGUGCUCCACCUGACACGAGGCCCCCGUGCUCCACCUGACACGAGGCCGUGCUCCACCUGAUUCAACUCUAUUUACUCCACCCACGAGGCCUGCGAAUUGUACCUCUCGCGCACCCCCUCGCACCUUGAAGUUGAUACUUGGACUCCCACCGAACCAUGGGCUCUGAUACCACUUGUAGCGGAAUUGAACGAUCCAUCCCACAUCUAUUCAUCACCUUAGCAGCGCACACCUGUGUAGACGAGCCCAAUAAGUAUGUUGGACCACCUCCUUACCUAAAAGGUUAACCUAUUAGGUUGAUGUUCUACCAUACUUAUUAAGCCAUCUACACUCUUGAAUUUAACCGAUGUGGGAUUCAUGUGAAAUCCUAACAAUCUCCACCUUUCACUUGAAUACCCAUCACAAGUAUUAUACUAGAGUAUCUUAUCAUUAAGCACACCUUCUUUGAAUUCUUCAAGAGCUCUCUGCUCGACUCUAAUACUACUCCCAACAGUUUUUCCUAGAGCCAUCCCGAGCCAUGCUCCACCCGAUUCAAAUACUUUUUGAGUCCUUCAAGAGCCUUGCUUGACUCUAAUAUUACUCCACCACGUCCUGGGUGUCUCACCACGUCCAUCCCGUGCUCCACCUGACACGAGGCCCCCCGUGCUCCACCUUGAAGUUGAUACUUGGACUCCCACCGAACCAUGGGCUCUGAUACCACUUGUAGCGGAAUUGUACGAUCCAUCCCACAUCUAUUCAUCACCUUAGCAGCGCACACACCUGUGUAGACGAGCCCAAUAAGUAUGUUGGACCACCUCCUUACCU